rnacentral:rRNA from 1 species
GGAAUCUUCCACAAUGGACGCAAGUCUGAUGGAGCAACGCCGCGUGAGUGAAGAAGGUCUUCGGAUCGUAAAACUCUGUUGUUAAAGAAGAACACGUAUGAGAGUAACUGUUCAUACGUUGACGGUAUUUAACCAGAAAGUCACGGCUAACUACGUGCCUG